rnacentral:rRNA from 1 species
AACGCUGGCGGCAUGCCUUACACAUGCAAGUCGAACGGCAGCGCGGGAGCAAUCCUGGCGGCGAGUGGCGAACGGGUGAGUAAUACAUCGGAACGUGCCCAAUCGUGGGGGAUAACGCAGCGAAAGCUGUGCUAAUACCGCAUACGAUCUACGGAUGAAAGCAGGGGAUCGCAAGACCUUGCGCGAAUGGAGCGGCCGAUGGCAGAUUAGGUAGUUGGUGAGGUAAAGGCUCACCAAGCCUUCGAUCUGUAGCUGGUCUGAGAGGACGACCAGCCACACUGGGACUGAGACACGGCCCAGACUCCUACGGGAGGCAGCAGUGGGGAAUUUUGGACAAUGGGCGAAAGCCUGAUCCAGCCAUGCCGCGUGCAGGAUGAAGGCCUUCGGGUUGUAAACUGCUUUUGUACGGAACGAAACGGCCUUUUCUAAUAAAGAGGGCUAAUGACGGUACCGUAAGAAUAAGCACCGGCUAACUACGUGCCAGCAGCCGCGGUAAUACGUAGGG